CAAUAGCGUAUAUUAAAGCUGUUGCGGUUAAAAAGCUCGUAGUUGGAUUUCUGUCAAGGACAACUGGUCCGCCCUCCGGGUGAGCACAUAGUUUGGUCUUGGCAUCUUGCUGGGAUCUGUUGCUGCACUUGGCUGUGUGGCGCAGUGGCCAGCACUUUCACUUUGAGGAAAUUGGAGUGUUUCAAGCAGGCACAUGCCUUUGGACACAUUAGCAUGGAAUAAUUAGAUUGGGUUUUAGCUCCAAUUUGUCGGUUUCUGGAGCUGAGGUGAGAAUUAAUGGGGAUUGUUGGGGGCAUCCGAAUUUAGCCGUCAGAGGUGAAAUUCUUGGAUCUGCUAAAGACGGACGACUGCGAAAGCGUUUGCCCAGGAUGUUUUCAUUGA
rnacentral:rRNA from 1 species